GUGCAGCAGGCGCGAAAACUCCGCAAUGCUCGAAAGAGUGACGGGGGAUUCCAAGUGCCUACGCUUAGCGUAGGCUGUUCAGAUGCCUAAAAAGCAUCUGGAGUAAGGGCUGGGUAAGACGGGCGCCAUCUGCAGUGGUAAUGAAAAACUUGCUACUGCAAGGCAUAAGCCGCCGCGGUAAUACCCGCAGCCCGAGUGGUAGUCGCUUUUAUUGGGCCUAAAGCGUCCGUAGCCGGUCUGGUAAAUGGCCUGGGGUAAAUCGUGGGGGCCUAACCUCACGAAUUCCGGGUAGACUGCCAGACUUGGGGACCGGUUGAGGGAGAGGGUACU
rnacentral:rRNA from 1 species